CGAGAGGUAUGAAGUGUUGAAGGAUCUAAAGCUGAGAAGGGCGGUCAAUAGAGAAGCCAGAUGGAGCCUCUGAAUGCCACCGGCUUGGAAAGGACUUGGGAGAGAGCUGGCUGGGAAGCGCCUUAACUUUGGGACAGACUCACAGAAGGGCCAUUGCAAAGCUGGGAGAAGUGUGAAUCUUCAGUGGUCUGAUCCUAUUGGUGGCUUAGAGUCUUCCCUGCAGUCACCGAGGCUCACAACAUGGGCUCAGAGGACCUUAUCAGAGAUCAAACUUGGCUCAGCUGUGUGCAAGAAUUAUGAUUUAGAGAGAAGAGGAACACAGCUGUCCCAUGUUUAACAGCCACAGUGAAACUCAAUUGCAACAUGGACCAAUACAAUAAGAAAUAUUUGGGCACAGGAGAUGACUCAAAUAACUGGAAGAUAAGCUUUUCAUGUGCAAAGCCUGUGCUGAAAGAGAGAGAGAGAGAGAGAGAGAGAGAGAGAGAGAAAGAGAGAGAGAGAAAGAGAGAGAGAGAAAGAGAGGGAGCUUUCUGUACUCAUCAUUCAAAUUUACUGGAAACAUUAUUGCUCUAAAAAUAAAGUUGAUUAAUGAGAAAAUAAUUAUUGCUAUG